AUACGUAGGGGGCGAGCGUUAUCCGGAUUUAUUGGGCGUAAAGCGUGUGUAGGCGGUUUGUUAAGCUUAAGAUUAAAGCCCGAGGCUUAACAUCGGUUCGUCUUAAAAACUGGCAGACUUGAGAGCGGUAGAGGCAAGUGGAAUUUCUAGUGUUGCGGUUAAAUGCGUAGAGAUUAGAAAGAACAACAGUGGCGAAGGCGGCUUGCUGGGCUGUUACUGACGCUGAGACACAAAAGCGUGGGGAGCAAAUAGGAUUAGAUACCCUAGUAGUCCACGCCGUAAACGAUGAGUACGAAGUGUCGGGUAACCGGUGCUGAAGUUAACACAUUAAGUACUCCGCCUGAGUAGUACGGUCGCAAGGCUGAAACUCAAAUGAAUUGGCGGGG
rnacentral:rRNA from 1 species